UACGUAGGUGCGAGCGUUAAUCGGAAUUACUGGGCGUAAAGCGUGCGCAGGCGGUUCGUUGUGUCGGCGGUGAAAGCCCGGCUCAACCUGGGAAUUGCGAUGGAGACUGCAAGGCUUGAAUCUGGCAGAGGGGGUAGAAUUCCACGGUGUAGCAGUGAAAUGCGUAGAGAUGUGGAGGAACACCGAUGGCGAAGGCAGCCCUGGUCAAG
rnacentral:rRNA from 1 species